AUGGAAUAUUAUUCAUCCAUAAAAGAAGGAAAUCCUGUCAUUUGCAACAACAUGAGUGAACCUGGAAUACAUUAUGCUAAGUGAAAUAAGCUGAACACAGAAAGACAAAUACUUUAUGGUCUCACUUUUUAUGUGAAGUCUAAAAAAGUGAGACUCAUCAAAACAGUAGUAUGAUGGUUGCCAAGGUCUGAGGGGUAAGGGAAAUGGGGAGAUACUGAGCAAGGGUACAAACUUUCAAUUAUAAGAUGAACAAGUUCUUAGGAUCUUAUAUACAGCAAGGGUGGUGAUGGGUGUGAUAAUUUAAUUGUGAAUAUACACAGUGUAUACAUAUAACAAAUUUUGUUGUAUACCUUGAUCUAUAAAAUCUUUACUUUUCAAUUAAAUGUUUUAAAAAGGGAAUACAUUUCUUGUUUUGAAAAUGCUUAAUGUGUCUUUUCUUACAUUAAUGUAAUUUAGAUGAAGAAAAACAGAUUUGAAGAAGCCUGAGCCAAAGGAAUCAUGACUCCCAAACCCAGAGUCUCAUAUACAAUUGUAGGUGCUACAUUAAGAGAAACAGGACAGGUAUCUAGAAAGUAUCUGUUCUUUUUUUUUUUUUUUCCUUACUCUUCUCUCUCUCUCCUACAUCAGCCACACAUAAAGGUGUAAGGUUGUUUUCAUAUCAUACCUGCAACUAAACUCAUUCAGGACUCCAGAAGUUUGUAAAUGGGAAACCACUUGUAGUUUAACAUAUCCUAAUCUAGUAUUAGGAUCAUGCUACCAUUGUUGUCAAACUUUCUCAAACUUGUAAUUUGUUUUGGCAUCAUUAUAAUGAAUAAUCAAUUGUAUGAGAUAAAAUAGUAAAUGUUCUAGUAAAAUGCAUUUUAAAAAUGUUUGGUUCCUUAUAAGACUCAGACCUUAUAAUGACCAUUUUCUCAUUUCAUCAAAGAAAUACACUGAGACCUUAGUAACCUUCCUUCUGUUUAGUUAUGACUCCGGGCAUUGAACUAGAUGCGUUGCAGUCAGUCUUACCAUGACUAGAAUCAUUUAUAGUCUCUCAUGUUCUUUUAUUUAAAAUUAAAGUAUGUGAAUCUUUUAAAAAGCAAUAUUUUAAAAAUAGUUGAAAUACAGCCAAAUGUUUAUAACAAUAAAUGCUUUUUUAAUUGCAUCUGUUCUCAAAAAUACAUUUAUUUCCCUGUGGUCAGCAAAGGUAAAAUAGAAUAUAAAUCAAAGCUUAUCAUAUUUUCUCUCUUCUAAUUCUAUAGAUGUUUAUGGACUUUACCUAGCAGCUUAUCUGCACAUAUCACCAGAUAUCCCACAUAUUUUGUUAGGCAAUUUUAAGAGCUGAUGGUUACAACCUUUUAAGAAGACACCAAUACCAGAAUGGUUUUCAAACUCAAGUAAAGAGCGGAUUUCUGGAAUACUAAUGUAAGGACUUCAGAAAAUCUUCUUCUCUAUAAAAGCAAUAUCUGACAACAAUUGUCAAAAACAAGUUUUUCAGAUUUCUAAAAAUAGCCCAAAGCUUCCAGCAACCCAAGGAGCAUUUAUUCAAUAAAACAGCUGAUUUUGGGUUAAAAAAAAGUUAGCUUUGUUGUACUUUAACUUGCCCUAAUCCAAUCAACGUUUCAUCAGAUCCACAAUAUCCCCAGAAAUUAGUAACCUUGCAUCCAUGGUAGCUGUGAAAACUUGCAGCCCCUGGAGAGGUGCAAGCUCCUCAAAUAUCCCCAGAUAGUUGUCUCUAUUUGACCUGUCUUGCAGCUCUUUGGGAAGGCCGUAUUCAUGAGGCUUGUCUUUAUUUGAUCUGACUCAGUGGAAAAGUCCUAUCCACAGGACAUUUGUUGAAAACAAGCAGCAGCAAUUGUUUAAUACUGUAUCUGCCUGAGCUGGCUGAAUUUUAGACCCUGUGGAAGCAAGAAGUGAAGCUAAGGCAGAAUUGUAAACUGUAAGAGCAUUGAAGGCAUACCCAACACAGGGCCCUUUGGCAAAGGAUGAAAGAUCUCUUGGUUCAAAAGAUUUUAGAAAAUAUGCCAGUCAUUAGCUCAUCACUAAGUAGUUAAACAGAUACUUCAGUGGACACACAUGACAAGGAAUAUAGGCUUUACAGAACUAGUCCAGGAAAGUCACUAAACAAACAGUAACAACAAACUUUGAGGGUGAAGAGAUCUGAUUUCCAAACUUUCUACCUUAUAUUGUUUAAAAUGUCUAGUUUUUAACAAAAAAAA